rnacentral:rRNA from 1 species
AGCUCCAAUAGCGUAUAUUAAAGUUGUUGCAGUUAAAAAGCUCGUAGUUGGAUGUUGGUUUGGGAUGUGGAGGAGUCUUUUAUUAGAAUAUUUCCAUGACCCUAACCCAAUGUGGUACUUUUAGUUUAUUAUUUAUUUAGUGGAUGAAAAAGAAUCACGUUUUACUUUGAAAAAAUUAGAGUGAUUAAAGCAAUCUUACGAUUGAAUACAUUAGCAUGGAAUAAUAAAAUAGGACUUGCUUCUUAUUUUGUUGGUUUUCGAUAGGCAAGUAAUGAUUAAUAGGGACAGUUGGGGGCAUUAGUAUUGAGCCGUCAGAGGUGAAAUUCUUGGAUUGGCUCAAGACUAACUUCUGCGAAAGCAUUUGCCAAGGAUGUUUUCA